CGGAGGGUGCGAGCGUUGUCCGGAAUCACUGGGCGUAAAGGGCGCGUAGGUGGCCUGUGGAAGUCUGCGGUGAAAGCCCGGCGCUCAACGCCGGGUCGGCCGUGGAUACUCUCGGGCUUGAGCUUACUAGAGGCAGAUGGAAUUCCGGGUGUAGCGGUGGAAUGCGUAGAGAUCCGGAAGAACACCGGUGGCGAAGGCGGUCUGCUGGGGUAAUGCUGACACUGAUGCGCGACAGCGUGGGGAGCAAACAGGAUUAGAUACCCUGGUAGUCCACGCCGUAAACGAUGGGCACUAGAUGCUUGGGGGAGCGACCCCCUGAGUAUCGUCGCUAACGCAUUAAGUGCCCCGCCUGGGGAGUACGGCCGCAAGGCUG
rnacentral:rRNA from 1 species